AUGUCCUCAUUUUUAACCAUUCCAGGCCCAUACUUCUUGACUCAGAGAAGCCAUGUUUGUGCCAACCCUUCCCCCUGCAGUCUCAGGAUGCUUGGGUCCUGGGUGGCGUCUCCCCCUACUUCUUCACCAGGAGUAGAUUCCAUCUCAAGAAACCACGUUUUGGGACGCCUGGGUGGCACAGCGGUUAAGCGUCUGCCUUCGGCUCAGGGCGUGAUCCCGGCGUUAUGGGAUCGAGCCCCACAUCAGGCUCCUCCGCUAGGAGCCUGCUUCUUCCUCUCCCACUCCCCCUGCUUGUGUUCCCUCUCUCGUUGGCUGUCUCUAUCUCUGUCGAAUAAAUAAAAAUAAAAUCUUAAAAAAAAAAAAAGAAACCACGUUUUUACUCAUCUAUAAGAAGCAACUCCUCGUCCAUUAAAGUUUUGUCAUGAGAUUGCGGCCGUUCAGUCCCAUCUUUGGGCUCCACUUCUCAUUCUAGGUCUCUUGCUGUUAACACCACAUCUGCAGCUACUUUCCCUACUGAAGUCUUGAACCCCUCACAGUCAUCCACGAGGGCUGGAAUCAACUUCUUCCAAAUUCCUGUUAAUGUUGAUAUUUGGACCCCUUCCCAUGAAUCAUGAAUGUUCUUAAUGGCGUUUAGAAC
rnacentral:lncRNA from 1 species